rnacentral:tRNA from 1 species
GCCGAAAUAGCUCAGUUGGGAGGCGUUAGAUUGAAAAUCUAAAGAUCCCUGGUUCGAAUCGAGGUUCCGGCA